UGCAUGUCUAAGUAUAAGCAAUAUAUACAGUGAAACUGCGAAUGGCUCAUUAAAUCAGUUAUCGUUUAUUUGAUAGUACCUUACUACUUGGAUAACCGUGGUAAUUCUAGAGCUAAUACAUGCUAAAAACCUCGACUUCGGAAGAGGUGUAUUUAUUAGAUAAAAAACCAAUGCCCUUCGGGGCUCCUUGGUGAUUCAUGAUAACUUAACGAAUCGCAUGGCCUUGUGCCGGCGAUGGUUCAUUCAAAUUUCUGCCCUAUCAACUUUCGAUGGUAGGAUAGUGGCCUACCAUGGUUUCAACGGGUAACGGGGAAUUAGGGUUCUAUUCCGGAGAGGGAGCCUGAGAAACGGCUACCACAUCCAAGGAAGGCAGCAGGCGCGCAAAUUACCCAAUCCCGACACGGGGAGGUAGUGACAAUAAAUACUGAUACAGGGCUCUUUUGGGUCUUGUAAUUGGAAUGAGUACAAUUUAAAUCCCUUAACGAGGAACAAUUGGAGGGCAAGUCUGGUGCCAGCAGCCGCGGUAAUUCCAGCUCCAAUAGCGUAUAUUAAAGUUGUUGCAGUUAAAAAGCUCGUAGUUGAACCUUGGGCCUGGCUGGCCGGUCCGCCUCACCGCGUGCACUGGUCCGGCCGGGUCUUUCCUUCUGGGGAGCCGCAUGCCCUUCACUGGGUGUGUCGGGGAACCAGGACUUUUACUUUGAAAAAAUUAGAGUGUUCAAAGCAGGCCUAUGCUCGAAUACAUUAGCAUGGAAUAAUAGAAUAGGACGUGUGGUUCUAUUUUGUUGGUUUCUAGGACCGCCGUAAUGAUUAAUAGGGAUAGUCGGGGGCAUCAGUAUUCAAUUGUCAGAGGUGAAAUUCUUGGAUUUAUUGAAGACUAACUACUGCGAAAGCAUUUGCCAAGGAUGUUUUCAUUAAUCAGUGAACGAAAGUUAGGGGAUCGAAGACGAUCAGAUACCGUCGUAGUCUUAACCAUAAACUAUGCCGACUAGGGAUCGGGCGAUGUUAUCUUUUUGACUCGCUCGGCACCUUACGAGAAAUCAAAGUUUUUGGGUUCUGGGGGGAGUAUGGUCGCAAGGCUGAAACUUAAAGAAAUUGACGGAAGGGCACC
rnacentral:rRNA from 1 species